rnacentral:rRNA from 1 species
UACGUAGGAGCAAGCGUUGUCGGAUUAUUGGCGUAAGAGCUCGUAGGCGGCUAGAAGUCGGCGUGAACUCAGCUCAACUGGAGACGCCACUCGAUACUUCUAUGGCUUGAGUUCGGUAGGACCAUGGAAUUCCUGGUGUAGCGGUGAAUGACGCAGAUAUCAGGAGGAACACGAUGGCGAAGGCAGUGUCUGGCGAUACUGACGCUGAGAGCGAAGCAUGGGAGCGAACAGG